GUGGCUGAGCGGUAAAGCGCUUGGCUUCCAAACUGAGGGUCCCAGGUUCAAAUCCUGAC
rnacentral:tRNA from 1 species